CAAACUGGGAUUAGGUACCCCACUAUGCCUAGCCGUAAAAUAUUUACUUACACCUUUAACCGCCUGGGAAUUACGAGCCCAAGCUUAAAACCCAAAGGACUUGACGGUGUCCCACCCACCUAGAGGAGCCUGUUCUAUAAUCGAUUCCCCCCGAUAUACCUCACCAUUUCUAGCCUUUCAGCCUGUAUACCUCCGUCGUAAGCUUACCAUAUGAACGUUUCUCAGUGAGCUAAAAGAUUUCUUCAUAAAUACGUCAGGUCAAGGUGCAGCCCACGAAAUGGCAAGCAAUGGGCUACAAUUUCUACAAUAGAACAUAACGAAAGACUACAUGCAACUCAGUCAUGAAGGCGGAUUUAGCAGUAAAAAGAAAAUAGAGAGUUCUUUUUAAUUAGGCGCUGGGACGCGUACACACCGCCCGUCACCCUCUUCAAACGCUUAUAAUAUGUCUGUAACACUUUUAUGCACCACAGAAGAGGCA
rnacentral:rRNA from 1 species